GAAGUGGGAGUCAAAGUGACCCUUGUCUAUUGUGAUGCUGAAUUCAUGACUAAGAGACUAUUGGUGAACUUAUCCUGGCUGUGAUUACAGACGUCAAGAGAGAGUACUGCAGCAACACUAAGAAAAUAAUGCAAGAGAACGCCCGCGAAGAGUGCCCAGGCAACAUUGACAGACUAGAAAAAAAAUAUCAGGAGAUGAAGCUGACACAGUGAGAGCAGCCCAGGUGCUUCUUGGUGCUUGUUAUUACAGACACACACUUCACACAGGGGAGGAUUAUUUUAAUUCUGUGGCCUUCAGAUCUCAUAAAUACAAGUAAAAACAAGCAGAUGAGAAAAUGAAGGCUAGGAGGGCUCAUGUGACUUGUCCAAGGUCAGCUAGGCAGCAAGCAGUGGCACUGAGAUUUAACCCAGUCCCCCCAACUUCAAGAUCCACACUCUUC